rnacentral:rRNA from 1 species
AGCGAACGCUGGCUGCAGGCCUAACACAUGCAAGUCGAACGGAUCCUUCGGGAUUAGUGGCGGACGGGUGAGUAACACGUGGGAACGUGCCCUUUGGUUCGGAACAACUCAGGGAAACUUGAGCUAAUACCGGAUGUGCCCUUCGUGGGAAAGAUUUAUCGCCAUUGGAGCGGCCCGCGUCUGAUUAGCUAGUUGGUGAGGUAAAGGCUCACCAAGGCGACGAUCAGUAGCUGGUCUGAGAGGAUGAUCAGCCACAUUGGGACUGAGACACGGCCCAAACUCCUACGGGAGGCAGCAGUGGGGAAUCUUGCGCAAUGGGCGAAAGCCUGACGCAGCCAUGCCGCGUGAAUGAUGAAGGUCUUAGGAUUGUAAAAUUCUUUCACCGGGGACGAUAAUGACGGUACCCGGAGAAGAAGCCCCGGCUAACUUCGUGCCAGCCGCCGCAGUAAUAC